rnacentral:lncRNA from 1 species
GAAUGCACAAAACCAUAACACUCACAACACAGUAACGUAUACCCCCAAAAUGACCAGCCAAUAAGUCCAUGAACAACACGCAAUUGCUAUUUUAUAUUUUGCAAAUUUAUCGGCAUGAAUAAAUCUAGUGGCAGCAUCAGCAUAUCUAACUGAAGCUCCAUGGAAACCAAGCACGCAACCUGAUAAACAAAAUCUUCUUCUAGUUGGCGGCUUGCAUCACACACGAAAUACAGCAGCAG